ACGGCAGGGAAGUCUCAUCACUGCGAAGGGGACGCGCCAUCCGUCUCUCCUGGCAACUGAGGACAGAGAAGGUCUGAGCACUUGCCCUCCCCGGCCUCCCACCCGCUUCGGAGGUGUAUUCAUUACCUUUGAAAAUGCUCAGUUCUUCGGUCCAGGGCGGGGCAGAAGGGAGGGAGGAAAGAGAGAGACAGGAGGUACUCAAACACAGAAGAGAGGAGUCUGGAAGCUCAGAAGGCUUCACAAAAAACGACAAAGGGGAGAUGAGGAGGAGCAAGAAG